AUUGAACGCUGGCGGCAGGCUUAACACAUGCAAGUCGAGCGGGGUGAUAGUGCUUGCACUAUCACUUAGCGGCGGACGGGUGAGUAAUGCUUAGGAAUCUGCCUAUUAGUGGGGGACAACAUUACGAAAGGAAUGCUAAUACCGCAUACGUCCUACGGGAGAAAGCAGGGGAUCUUCGGACCUUGCGCUAAUAGAUGAGCGUAAGUCGGAUUAGCUAGUUGUUGGGGUAAAGGCCUACCAAGGCGACGAUCUGUAGCGGGUCUGAGAGGAUGAUCCGCCACACUGGGACUGAGACACGGCCCAGACUCCUACGGGAGGCAGCAGUGGGGAAUAUUGGACAAUGGGCGCAAGCCUGAUCCAGCCAUGCCGCGUGUGUGAAGAAGGCCUUAUGGUUGUAAAGCACUUUAAGCGAGGAGGAGGCUACUUUAGUUAAUACCUAGAGAUAGUGGACGUUACUCGCAGAAUAAGCACCGGCUAACUCUGUGCCAGCCGCCGCCGUAA
rnacentral:rRNA from 1 species